CCGCAUCCUCUGACCCACUUACAGUGGACCACCUUCAGUCUACAGAAAUCACAGCUAGUUUCAUGAUCGGCCCUUUCUUGUCUUCACCUUUCUCAUUUUGGCGUACCAAUCCCAUCGGGGUAGCCACUCACAAAUACUCCAACAAAAAACGUUUGAUUAUAGACCUCUCUGCACCACACUCUUCCUCCAUUACCAGUAUCAACUCACUCAUUACCGCCGAGGAUUUCUCACUACACUACGCUAAAAUUGACGAUGCCAUGCAAGCCAUCAUAUCAG